rnacentral:rRNA from 1 species
UACGGAGGGGGCUAGCGUUGUUCGGAAUUACUGGGCGUAAAGCGCACGUAGGCGGCUUUGUAAGUUAGAGGUGAAAGCCCGGGGCUCAACUCCGGAAUUGCCUUUAAGACUGCAUCGCUAGAAUUGUGGAGAGGUAAGUGGAAUUCCGAGUGUAGAGGUGAAAUUCGUAGAUAUUCGGAAGAACACCGGUGGCGAAGGCGGCCAUCUGGCUCGGUACUGACGCUCAGGCGCGAAAGCGUGGGGAGCAAACAGG